rnacentral:rRNA from 1 species
GUCGGGAAUUUUGGGCAAUGGGCGAAAGCCUGACCCAGCAACGCCGCGUGAAGGAUGAAGUAUUUCGGUAUGUAAACUUCGAAAGAAUAGGAAGAAUUAAUGACGGUACUAUUUAUAAGGUCCGGCUAACUACGUGCCAGCAGCCGCGGUAAUACGUAGGGACCAAGCGUUGUUCGGAUUUACUGGGCGUAAAGGGCGCGUAGGCGGUGCUGUAAGUCACUUGUGAAAUCUCUGAGCUUAACUCAGAACGGCCAAGUGAUACUGCAGCACUAGAGUGCGGAAGGGGCAAUCGGAAUUCUUGGUGUAGCGGUGAAAUGCGUAGAUAUCAAGAGGAACACCUGAGGUGAAGACGGGUUGCUGGGCCGACACUGACGCUGAGGCGCGAAAGCCAGGGGAGCAAACGGGAUUAGAUACCCGUGUAGUCC